AAUCAACGCUGGCGGCGUGCCUAACACAUGCAAGUCGAGCGCGAAAGGGAGCAAUCCCCAAGUAGAGCGGCGAACGGGUGAGUAACGCGUGGGUAAUCUGCCUCCGAGUGGGGAACAACACCGGGAAACUGGUGCUAAUACCGCAUGACAUCGUUGGACCUUGGAUCUGACGAUCAAAGGCCGGGGACCGCAAGGCCUGGCGCUUGGAGAGGAGCCCGCGUCCGAUUAGCAGUUGGUAGGGUAAU
rnacentral:rRNA from 1 species